rnacentral:rRNA from 1 species
GAGCUACCGCUAUUGGAGUUCGAUUAAGCCAUGCGAGUCGAGAGUCUUAGGGACUCGGCGUACCGCUCAGUAACACGUGGGUAACCUGCCCUAUGCUGGGGAAUAACCUCGGGAAACUGAGAAUAAUGCCCCAUAGUCCACCAUGCCUGGAACGGUUGGUGGAUCAAAGCUCCGGCGGCAUAGGAUGGGCCUGCGGCGUAUCAGGUCGUAGGGGGUGUAACGUACCCUCUAGCCAUCGACGCGUACGGGUGUUGGGAGACAUAGCCCGGAGAUGGAUUCUGAGACACGAAUCCAGACCCUACGGGGUGCAGCAGGCGCGAAAACUUGGCAAUGCGAGAAAUCGUGACCAGGGAACUCCAAGUGGCUUGGGGUAAGACCCAGUCUUUUCUUGACUCUUCAACGGUCUCGGAAUAAGGGGUGGGUAAGGACGGUGCCAGCCGCCGCGGUAAUACCGGCGCCUCAAGUGGUAGUCGAUUUUAUUGGGCCUAAAACGUCCGUAGCCUGUUUGGUACAUUCGUGGGUAAAUCAACCAGCUCAACUGAUUGAAUUCUGCGAGCACGGCCAGACUUGGGACCGGGAGAGGUGUGGGGUACGCUCAGGGUAGGGGUAAAAUCCUGUCAUCCUGAGCGGACCACCUGUUGCGAAGGCGCCACACUAGAACGGAUCCGACGGUCAGGGACGAAGCCUAGGGGCACGAACCGG